AAGGGAGUAAUCCCAAGUAAAGUGGCGUACGGGUGAGUAACGCGUAGGUAAUCUACCUCAAAGUCUGGAAUAACCUAUCGAAAGGCAGGCUAAUACUGGAUAGAGCGACGGAAUCCGUAAUUGGGUUUUUCGGGAAAGGGAGGAAGCAAUUCCCCUUGCUUUGGGAUGAGCCUGCGUCUCAUUAGCUAGUAGGUGGGGUAAAAGCCUACCAAGGCGAUGAUGAGUAGCUGGUCUGAGAGGAUGAUCAGCCACACUGGAACUGAAACACGGUCCAGACUCCUGCGGGAGGCAGCAGUGGGGAAUCUUGCGCAAUGGACGAAAGUCUGACGCAGCCACGCCGCGUGAGUGAAGAAGGCCUUCGGGUUGUAAAGCUCUGUCGAGCGGGACGAAAAGCCAAGAGGUGAAUAGCCUCUAGGUCUGACGGUACCGCUAAGGAAGCACCGGCUAACUCCGUGCCAGCAGCCGC
rnacentral:rRNA from 1 species